GCUGUGCUUGGAAAUAGCCCGCAGCCCUGCUCCACGUGGCUGGGUGCGUCCUGGGGUUCAGUCAGAGCUGACUUCCUGGAGGGUGGGCCUCGCACAGCCUGGAGGCCUUGGCCAGCCGGCGCUGGGAGGGGGCCCUGCCGGACCUUGUGGGCAGUUAGGCAUCAUUUAGUGGACAGAGCUCUCUUUGGCUAAAUAUGUUUCACACUGUUUGAGAGAUUUGUCCCGGGGCAGCUCCGUGUACAAGGAGCUUCUGUUGGUGAACGCUGGACCAGGUUAUCUCCGUGCCUUUGAGCUCCGAGUGUCCCUGACUCCAUAAGCUCAUGCGCCUCUAAAGGCCCCACCUGAGGUUGCUUUUGCCCUGAGACACCGGCCCAGGGUUGAUGUUGGUUCUUCUCUGCUGAGGAACUAAGGAGUGCUGGUCCCCACAGUCACCUAUACCCCUUUCCUGGCACAUGUGGGGGCAUUUCCAGGGACAGAGAAGGGAGUGCAGGCCGCACUUUUUCAGGGUUCUCUUAUGAGAACCAAGAAUUUAAAGGUUACAGUAUUUUUUCUUUUCUAUCCUUCAGUGACAACUUGGUAUGAUUUUUUUAAAAUCAUGUGAUGGAAGUAUUUUGUCUGUCCUUGAUAUAAACUAAUUAAGGACAUAGUGUCAGGGUUUAGGCUGUUAAGGGAGACGCCACAGAUGUGUGUGUCACAGCUUCCCUGUGUGUGAGGGUGGAAGAGACACUUGAGGGUAAGGUCCCUAGGGGCCAUGGCCCUAGUUCAGGUGUGAACGUUAACAUGGAGGAGAGAGGAGGUCAUUGUCUGUUUUGGACCUGGAGGGAUCAUGACCUAAGUUCCUUCUUAUAAUUUAUUGAAGAUUAUCUUCCACUAGCAUCAGCCCCCCAGUGGGUGUAUUAAUAAAUAGAUAGUCAACAUUUAAGCACAAAAAGGUUUUCCUGUGUUUUUCAUAGACUCUCUUGUUGGCAAUGAGGUGAAAUACAGGCACUGUGAGUAUCUUGGUGUGGAGGAUGCAAGUUUUAGGGGCUCAGGUGGUCCCAGAGGGACAUGGUCAGGUGCAUAGAGCUCUGACCUGGGGCCUGGGAGGCCUGUCUUCUGUCCAUUACCACCUUGCACUUAGGGUAUCUGUUGUCCAUAAAAGGAAGGUAGAGGGAGGGUCUCCAACUCUGUACCUUGUGAUCUGUAUAGUCAGGUAUCUGUGUAUCCAGGUUUCCUGAUUGGAACCC